CAGCCGCCGCGGUAAUACGGAGGGUGCGAGCGUUAAUCGGAAUUACUGGGCGUAAAGGGUGCGUAGGUGGUUUGAUAAGUUAUCUGUGAAAUCCCUGGGCUUAACCUGGGCAGGUCAGAUAAGACUGUUGGACUCGAGUAUAGGAGAGGGUAGUGGAAUUUCCGGUGUAGCGGUGAAAUGCGUAGAGAUCGGAAGGAACACCAGUGGCGAAGGCGGCUACCUGGCCUGAUACUGACACUGAGGCACGAAAGCGUGGGGAGCAAACAGGAUUAGAUACCCCUGUAGUCCCUGUCUCUUAUAC
rnacentral:rRNA from 1 species